GCCCGGUUAGCUCAGUCGGCAGAGCACCUCCAUGGUAAGGAGGGGGUCCGCGGUUCGAGUCCGCGACCGGGCUCCA
rnacentral:tRNA from 1 species